GCGAGAUAGCUCAAUGGUAGAGCAUCGGAAUCAUAAUCCGCUGGUUGAGGGUUCGAGUCCCCCUCUCGCC
rnacentral:tRNA from 1 species